rnacentral:rRNA from 1 species
UACGGGAGGCAGCAGUGGGGAAUAUUGCACAAUGGGCGAAAGCCUGAUGCAGCUAUGCCGCGUGUAUGAAGAAGGCCUUAGGGUUGUAAAGUACUUUCAUCGGGGAGGAAAAAACAAAACUAAUAAUUUUAUUUCUUGACGUUACCCGAAAAAGAAGCACCGGCUAACUCCGUGCCAGCAGCCGCGGUAAUACGGAGGGUGCUAGCGUUAAUCAGAAUUACUGGGCGUAAAGAGCACGUAGGUGGUUUUUUAAAGUCAGAUGUGAAAUCCCUGGGCUUUAACCUAGGAACUGCAUUUUGAAACUGAAAUACUAGAGUAUCGUAGAGGGAGGUAGAAUUCUAGGUGUAGCGGUGAAAUGCGUAGAUAUCUGGAGGAAUACCUGUGGCGAAAGCGGCCUCCUAAACGAAUACUGACACUGAGGGUGCGAAAGCGUGGGGAGCAAACAGGGACUUAGAUACC